GGGGAAUAUUGGACAAUGGGCGCAAGCCUGAUCCAGCCAUGCCGCGUGGAUGAUGAAGGCCCUAGGGUUGUAAAGUCCUUUUAACGGGGAAGAUAAUGACGGUACCCGUAGAAUAAGCCCCGGCUAACUUCGUGCCAGCAGCCGCGGUAAUACGAAGGGGGCUAGCGUUGCUCGGAAUUGCUGGGCGUAAAGCGCACGUAGGCGGACCGAUAAGUCGGGGGUGAAAUCCUGGAGCUCAACUCCAGAACUGCCUUCGAAACUGCCGGUCUUGAGUUCGGGAGAGGUGAGUGGAACUGCGAGUGUAGAGGUGAAAUUCGUAGAUAUUCGCAAGAACACCAGUGGCGAAGGCGGCUCACUGGCCCGAUACUGACGCUGAGGUGCGAAAGCGUGGGGAGCAAACA
rnacentral:rRNA from 1 species